UAAGAAUUUAAAAGUCGAACAGACUUAUUAUUAAAAAUACUACCCCUUAAAAUUUUCUUAAUUCAACAUCGAGGUCGCAAAAUAUAAUAUAGAUAUGAACUCCCCAUUAAAAUUACGCUGUUAUCCCUAAGGUAACUUAAUCUUGAUAUCCCUUUCUAUUCGGGGAUCUAAAAUUACAUAAAUAAAUGAAUUCCUAAACUAAAGUUAAUUAUUUAAUUGCCACCCCAGCAAAAUAUAAAGUAUAUAUUUAAAAGUAUAUUAAUAAAACUUAAUAAUAUAAAAUUAUAUAAAGUUCUAUAGGGUCUUAUCGUCCCAAUAAACUAAUAAAGCAUUUUAACUUUAAAUUUAAAUUUUAAUAUUUAAAAAAAUAAAAUAUAAUUCUCAUAAAUCCAUUCAUACAAGCUUUCAAUUAAAAAACUAAUUACUAUGCUACCUUUGCACAGUCAAAAUACUGCAGCCAUUUAGAAAUUUAAACCAUAGGGCAGGAGAUACUUUUUAUAAAAAUCA
rnacentral:rRNA from 1 species